AAGACGAACGCUGGCGGCGUGCUUAACACAUGCAAGUCGAACGGGGCGAUUUGAAAGCUUGCUUUUAAUGAGCCUAGUGGCAAACGGGUGAGUAACGCGUAGGCAACCUGCCCUCAGGAUGGGGACAACGGCCCGAAAGGACCGCUAAUACCGAAUGUUUUAUUUUAAGCGCAUGCUUGAAAUACCAAAGGCGGAGCAAUCCGUCACCUGAGGAUGGGCCUGCGUCUGAUUAGGUUUUUGGUGAGGUAACGGCUCACCAAGGCGACGAUCAGUAGCCGGACUGAGAGGUUGAACGGCCACAUUGGGACUGAGACACGGCCCAGACUCCUACGGGAGGCAGCAGUGAGGGAUAUUGCACAAUGGAGGAAACUCUGAUGCAGCGAUGCCGCGUGGAGGAAGAAGUUUUCGGAUUGUAAACUCCUGUUUCGAGGGACGAUAUGACGGUACCUCGGGAGGAAGCUCCGGCUAACUACGUGCCAGCAGCCGCGGUAUACGUAGGAGCGAGCGUUGUCCGGAUACUGGUGUAAGGAGCGCAGCGGAUGCAGUCAGGGUGAAUACUGGCCCACCACGGCUGCCUUGAACUUGAUUUUUGGUGGUAAGUACCGAUUCCUAUGUACGUGAAUGCUAAUAAGAACUUGGGAGGGCU
rnacentral:rRNA from 1 species